rnacentral:rRNA from 1 species
UAAGACCAAAGUGCAACUAAGCUGUCAUAAGCCCAAGAUGUACCUAAGACCUCCCUUAAAACGAUCUUAGCGUCUUUGAUUAAUUUAAUUCCACGAAAGCUAAGGCACAAACUGGGAUUAGAUACCCCACUAUGCUUAGCCCUAAAUCUCGAUGCUCCCCCGUACUAAAGCAUCCGCCCGAGAACUACGAGCACAAACGCUUAAAACUCUAAGGACUUGGCGGUGCCCUAGACCCACCUAGAGGAGCCUGUUCUAUAAUCGAUAACCCACGUUACACCCGACCGCCCCUUGCCAAAGCAGCCUACAUACCGCCGUCGCCAGCUCACCUCCCCUGAGAGUUCAACAGUGAGCACAAUAGCCUAAACCCGCUAAUAAGACAGGUCGAGGUAUAGCCUAUGGGGCGGAAGAAAUGGGCUACAUUUUCUAAAAUAGAAAACUCACGGAAGGGGGCAUGAAACUGCCCCCCAAAGGCGGAUUUAGUAGUAAAGCGGGACAAUUAAGCCCCCUUUAAGCCGGCCCUGGGGUACGUACAUACCGCCCGUCACCCUCC